rnacentral:rRNA from 1 species
GAUGAACGCUGGCGGCGUGCUUAACACAUGCAAGUCGAACGGUGAAAGAGAGCUUGCUCUCUGGAUCAGUGGCGAACGGGUGAGUAACACGUGAGCAAUCUGCCCCUGACUCUGGGAUAACAGCUGGAAACAGCUGCUAAUACCGGAUACGAGCUGCGAAGGCAUCUUCAGCAGCUGGAAAGAAUUUCGGUCAGGGAUGAGCUCGCGGCCUAUCAGCUUGUUGGUGAGGUAACGGCUCACCAAGGCGUCGACGGGUAGCCGGCCUGAGAGGGUGACCGGCCACACUGGGAGUGAGACACGGCCCAGACUCCUACGGGAGGCAGCAGUGGGGAAUAUUGCACAAUGGGCGCAAGCCUGAUGCAGCAACGCCGCGUGAGGGACGACGGCCUUCGGGUUGUAAACCUCUUUUAGCAGGGAAGAAGCGAAAGUGACGGUACCUGCAGAAAAGCACCGGCUAACUACGUGCCAGCAGCCGCAGUAA